GAUGAACGCUGGCGGCGUGCUUAACACAUGCAAGUCGAACGGAAAGGCCCUGCUUGCAGGGUACUCGAGUGGCGAACGGGUGAGUAACACGUGGGUGAUCUGCCCUGCACUUCGGGAUAAGCCUGGGAAACUGGGUCUAAUACCGGAUAGGAGCCAUUUUUAGUGUGAUGGUUGGAAAGUUUUUCGGUGUAGGAUGAGCUCGCGGCCUAUCAGCUUGUUGGUGGGGUAAUGGCCUACCAAGGCGGCGACGGGUAGCCGGCCUGAGAGGUGGACGGCCACAUUGGGACUGAGAUACGGCCCAGACCUCCUACGGGAGGGCAGCAGUGGGGAAUAUUGCACAAUGGGCGCAAGCCUGAUGCAGCGACGCCGCGUGGGGAUGACGGCCUCGGUUGUAACGU
rnacentral:rRNA from 1 species